rnacentral:rRNA from 1 species
UGGGGAAUAUUGGACAAUGGGCGAAAGCCUGAUCCAGCAAUGCCGCGUGAGUGAUGAAGGCCUUAGGGUUGUAAAGCUCUUUUACCCGGGAUGAUAAUGACAGUACCGGGAGAAUAAGCCCCGGCUAACUCCGUGCCAGCAGCCGCGGUAAUACGGAGGGGGCUAGCGUUGUUCGGAAUUACUGGGCGUAAAGGGCGCGUAGGUGGCCUUGUUAGUCAGACGUGAAAUCCCCAAGCUUAACUUGGGAACUGCGUCUGAUACUGCAAGGCUUGAGUUCGGGAGAGGGAUGUGGAAUUCCAGGUGUAGCGGUGAAAUGCGUAGAUAUCUGGAGGAACACCGGUGGCGAAGGCGGCAUCCUGGACCGAAACUGACACUGAGGCGCGAAAGCUAGGGGAGCAAA